rnacentral:rRNA from 1 species
AUUGAACGCUGGCGGCAGGCCUAACACAUGCAAGUCGAACGAGUGGCGGACGGGUGUGUAAUGUCUGGGGAACUGCCCGAUGGAGGGGGAUAUCUACUGGAAACGGUAGCUAAUACCGCAUACCAUCGGAUGUGCCCAGAUGGGAUUAGCUAGUAGGUGGGGUAACGGCUCACCUAGGCGACGAUCCCUAGCUGGUCUGAGAGGAUGACCAGCCACACUGGAACUGAGCCACGGACCAGGCUCCUCCGGGAGGCGGCGGUGGGGAAUAUUGCGCAAUGGGCGCAAGCCUGAUGCAGCCAUGCCGCGUGUAUGAAGACGGCCUUCGGGUGGUAAAGUACUUUCAGCGCGGAGGCGUUACUCGCAGAAGAAGCACCGGCUAACUCCGUGCCAGCCGCCGCGGUAAUUC